rnacentral:rRNA from 1 species
AGUGAACGCUGGCGGCGUGCCUAAUACAUGCAAGUCGAACGGAGAUUAAGUAGCUUGCUAUUUAAUCUUAGUGGCGCACGGGUGAGUAAUAUAUAGCUAACUUGCCCAUUACUAAGGGACAACAGUUGGAAACGACUGCUAAUACCUUAUACUCCGUAUCUAUAUAAGUAGAUACGGGAAAGUUUUUCGGUAAUGGAUAGGGCUAUAUCGUAUCAGCUAGUUGGUAAGGUAAUGGCUUACCAAGGCUAUGACGCGUAACUGGUCUGAGAGGAUGAUCAGUCACACUGGAACUGAGACACGGUCCAGACUCCUACGGGAGGCAGCAGUAGGGAAUAUUGCUCAAUGGGGGAAACCCUGAAGCAGCAACGCCGCGUGGAGGAUGACACUUUUCGAAGCGGAAACUCCUUUUCUUGGGAAAGAAUUAUGACGGUACCCAAGGAAUAAGCACCGGCUAACUCCGUG